UGAGGAAUCUUGCGCAAUGGGGGAAACCCUGACGCAGCAACGCCGCGUGAGUGAUGAAGGCCUUCGGGUCGUAAAGCUCUGUCAGAUGGGAAGAAAGUUUUAGCGGUGAAUAAUCGCUGGAAUUGACGGUACCGUCAAAGGAAGCACCGGCUAACUCCGUGCCAGCAGCCGCGGUAAUACGGAGGGUGCUAGCGUUGUUCGGAAUUAUUGGGCGUAAAGAGCGUGUAGGCGGCCGGGUAAGUCAGAUGUGAAAUCCCUUGGCUUAACCAAGGAAGGGCAUUUGAAACUGCCUGGCUUGAGUACGGGAGGGGGAAGUGGAAUUCCCGGUGUAGAGGUGAAAUUCGUAGAUAUCGGGAGGAACACCGGUGGCGAAGGCGGCUUCCUGGAUCGAUACUGACGCUGAGACGCGAAAGCGUGGGGAGCAAACAGGAUUAGAUACCCUGGUAGCCCACGCCGUAAACGUUGGGCACUUGGUGUUGCGGGUAUUGACCCCUGCAGUGCCGAAGCUAACGCAUUAAGUGCCCCGCCUGGGGAGUACGGCCGCAAGGCUA
rnacentral:rRNA from 1 species